UAUGCAACCUGCCCCUGUCAGGGGGACAACCCGCCGAAAGGCGGGCUAAACCCGCGUACAUGCCACCGGGGCAUCCCGGAGGCAGGAAAGGCUUCGGCCGGACAGGGAUGGGCAUGCGGCGCAUUAGGCAGUAGGCGGGGUAACGGCCCACCUAACCGACGAUGCGUAGGGGUUCUGAGAGGAAGGUCCCCCACACUGGUACUGAGACACGGACCAGACUCCUACGGAAGGCAGCAG
rnacentral:rRNA from 1 species